rnacentral:tRNA from 1 species
AGUUGGCUCAGUCGGUAGAGCAUCAACCUUAUAAUCUGAGGGUCAAGGGUUUAAAUCCCUAAUU